GGGCUUGGUACUUACAGCCCAAGGAAGUGUCCUAAGGCUGACGGCUGGCUUGCUGUCUGUCAUUUCAGGGCAGAGGGGGAGCUUUGGAGACUGGGCUCCAAGAAAGCAAAAGGACCAGGCAAGUAAACAAUUGAGUCCUGUGUUUUCCCCGAGCCACAGCCAUGGGAAUCCCACUUCCACACUGAGAUGUGCAUGGAGAUAGGAGCUGUGCGGCCGUACUGUCCGUGUGUCUAGGAGGCGAAAGAAGCAAAGAGAGCAGAAGGAGGCAUGGUGCUUUGGGGAAGAACGGUGUCCUGGAGAGACUGGCGUUUCUGCCUCUGUGUGAACAUCUGGCAGGGACAGAAUACCCAGCCAGGUUGACGGGGGAGGAGGCAGUUCACUCAUCCCAUGUGCUGUGAAGGCAGCUGAAGCUGGUACUUCCCUUCUGUUUCCAGUUCCUGUCAUCUCAGUGGAAGGAGUGGGUAGAGGUGGACCAGGGACACAGCAGUGGACAUGUGGAGUGCAUCUCCUCUUCUUUGGCCUCAGUGAGACUCAUCCUGCAGCUCUGAAUACUACAGCUCCUGUUGCCAUGACUCCCCACCGUGAUGGACUGCGCCCUGGAAGAUAUUAGAAGACCUUCACAUUCUUUGGGGCACAAAGCAACAAGUGCAAAGACUUUGUUUCUGAUACAUCUCCCCAUGUUGGCAAGA